CAACCUCUCUAACUAUUGCGUCACGACCUUAAAGUGGAUUAGUUCGCCUUGUGGUCAGUCAUAGUGACCCCUGACAAUGGGAGGCUUCAUUGGCGCCAUAAAAUGUCGAUCACUUUGUCACAGGACGUCGCGUGGUACAAUUGGCCCGCAAUAGUACCAUUCAUCCCGCCCCCUUCUGAGGUGACGGGAAAGGGUUGGGGAAUUUCCACUUCUGAUUAAAAUGACGGCAGAGGUGACGACCCUCAAGGAUUGGUAAGAUUUGGAGUAGAAUUCACCCUGAGUUUAGUGGGGCUUAUCUGUCAAGGAUGCAAGAGGUACGGAGGUUACGAAGCUCCCACCUGUCGCUCUCCGCCAGACGCCGAGACUGCGGCCGGAGAGUUGCUGCACGGGGAUUGGAGGAAAGAAGCAAUCAGUCUCAUCUAGUCUCCACCUUCCUGACAGCCCCUGGUUGGAGGAGCGGAGCGUCAGUCACUAGAGCGGUCGCCACCUCUGGGACAGGAAAAGUCUGAGAAACUGUCACAGUCAAGAGGAGCCUAAGGAGACAUGAUGACAAAAUGUAAUAUAGUAUCCUGGAUGGGAUACUGGAACAGAAAAAGGACAUGAGGUAAAGAAGAUGGUAAUGGGUUCACUUUAUGUGUUUGGUUUCAGACUGCAAUGCGGAGAACUUACAUAUGUACCUUAUAUGCUUCCUCAUUUGUGAAGUACGGAUGCCUUCAGGGUUCAUGGGAGGAUCAAAUGAGACCAAGUGUGGAGAAAACAGCACAGUGCCUGGUGCACAGGCGCCUGGGUGGCUCAGUUGGUUAAGUGACUGCCUUCGGCUCAGGUCAUGAUCCUGGAGUCCCUGGAUCGAGUCCCACAUCAGGCUCCCUGCUCAGCAGGGAGCCUGCUUCUGCCUCUGACCCUCCCCCCUCUCAUGUGCUCUCUCUCAUUCUCUGUCUCAAAUAAAUAAAUAAAAUCUUUAAAAAAAAAAAA